AUUGAACGCUGGCGGCAGGCUUAACACAUGCAAGUCGAGCGGGGUGAUGGUGCUUGCACUAUCACUUAGCGGCGGACGGGUGAGUAAUGCUUAGGAAUCUGCCUAUUAGUGGGGGACAACAUCUCGAAAGGGAUGCUAAUACCGCAUACGUCCUACGGGAGAAAGCAGGGGAUCACUUGCGACCUUGGGCUAAUAGAUGAGCCUAAGUCGGAUUAGCUAGUUGGUGGGGUAAAACCUACCAAGGCGACGAUCUGUAGCGGGUCUGAGAGGAUGAUCCGCCACACUGGGACUGAGACACGGCCCAGACUCCUACGGGAGGCAGCAGUGGGGAAUAUUGGACAAUGGGGGGAACCCUGAUCCAGCCAUGCCGCGUGUGUGAAGAAGGCCUUAUGGUUGUAAAGCACUUUAAGCGAGGAGGAGGCUCUUUUGGUUAAUACCCAAGAUGAGUGGACGUUACUCGCAGAAUAAGCACCGGCUAACUCUGUGCCAGCAGCCGCAGUAA
rnacentral:rRNA from 1 species